rnacentral:rRNA from 1 species
GCUUAGCGAUUCCUCCUCUUCCCCAUAUGUCCAUGGUCCCUGAAAAACAGGAAAAGCCAAUCUACCGCAUAGCUAGAAAACCUAAAGAUCCUGCAAAAAAAGUCUAGGUCGGUUCUUCCUCAAAAGUGUGCUCACGCUCCCAAUCCCGCCGAUCUGCUGCCAUUGGCAUACGCUCCCAAUCCCCCCAACUGACCUAUUGCAAUUGGCACGUUGCUAUUGCAGCUCCUCCGCCGCUUCAUGUCGCCCUUCGUAACUUCAUGCCAUCAUCCACUUUGAAGAUCCGCAUGGUGCUGCAAUUCGUCCAAGGAGUAGGGAAGCUUGGAUCCAGCAAAAAAACUUAAUUAGUAAUUAGGCAAUGGAGUGAAGGAAGGGUGAUCUCAUCCCAACGCCCAAACCUUGUUCGAUUCCAUCUAUGGCCGAUUCGUACGCCCAUCCACAGGAAAAAACUGCUCUGUAUAUGUGUUUCACAUCACAACGCUUACGAGAUUAAGAAAUAUAGGAAGCUAUGAAGAAUGGGCCAGUUACAGUAUUCAGAUAUCAUAUAUAGCUGCCACUUACAGAAAAUAUGAUUACAAGUAGGAUUUACAAUCGUUUCCUCAAAUCAUUAAAUGGGUAGCUAUUGUGAGUUCCAGUAUGGUCGUUUAUUGAUCACAAAGGAAUUGCUUCUGCCAUUGGAAGUAUGACAUGAGUCCUGACUUCUGCAGGGACAUUAUGGAGGCAUCAGAUGAUCGGGGGGAUCGACAAUGGGAGGCUACCACGACAAGCAACUAGCAAAGAAAGAGGAGCUAUGGACUAGGCAUUACAUGCUGGACACCAUGGACUGAAAACAUGAGACAUGGAUUGACACGGGAACGAUGUAUUACAAUUCCGUUUCCCAUAUAAUCUAAAAGGAUGAGUUGGGCUUCCCUUCAUGAGCUUCUUUUCUGUAAGGUUCAUGUAUAGAGAAAGAAGAAACAAAUAUAAACAUUAUAGCCAAGAUGAGGAAUUGAGGAUAACGGUGGUUUAUCUCAAUGCCACAUGUUUAGUUGGUGGAGCAUGCUCUUGGAGUACGCACGGAAAUUAACUUGAUGGAAGUAAAUAACAUGGCAAUAAGGUGGCUAGAUUUUUCUGUUCUAUUACACAGUACAUUUAUGUUUAUUUAAAAUCAAUUGCCAGAAAAUUUCAUGUUC